GAUGAAGAACGUAGCGAAAUGCGAUACUUGGUGUGAAUUGCAGAAUCCCGUGAACCAUCGAGUCUUUGAACGCAAGUUGCGCCCGAAGCCAUUAGGCCGAGGGCACGCCUGCCUGGGCGUCACACGUCGUUGCCCCCCCAUCUACUCCUUCGGGAUUGCGGGGGGCGGAUGAUGGCCUCCCGUGCGCCUCGUCGCGCGGUUGGCAUAAAUGCCAAGUCCUCGGCGACGCACGCCACGACAAUCGGUGGUUGCGAAACCUCUGUUGCCCGUCGUGUGCGGUCGUCGCGCAUCGAGGGCUCGAAAAAAUUGCCGGGCUCCGGCUCGGCUUUCAACGCGACCCCAGGUCAGGCGGGGUUACCCGCUGAAUUUAAGCAUAUCAAUAAGCGGAGGA
rnacentral:misc_RNA from 1 species